UACAGGUGUGUGUUUGUAACAGUAGGUUACAGGUGUGUGUUUGUAACAGGUGUGUGUUUGUAACAGGUGUGUGUUUGUAACAGUAGUUUACAGGUGUGUGUUUGUAACAGGUGUGUGUUUGUAACAGUAGUAUACAGGUGUGUGUUUGUAACAGGUGUGUGUUUGUAACAGUAGUAUACAGGUGUGUGUUUGUAACAGUAGUUUCCAGGUGUGUGUUUGUAACAGUAGUUUCCAGGUGUGUGUUUGUAACAGUAGUUUACAGGUGUGUGUUUGUAACAGUAGUUUACAGGUGUGUGUUUGUAACAGUAGUUUACAGGUGUGUGUUUGUAACAGUAGUUUACAGGUGUGUGUUUGUAACAGGUGUGUGUUUGUAACAGUAGUUUCCAGGUGUGUGUUUGUAACAGUAGUUUACAGGUGUGUGUUUGUAACAGGUGUGUGUUUGUAACAGUAGUUUCCAGGUGUGUGUUUGUAACAGUAGUUUACAGGUGUGUGUUUGUAACAGUAGUUUCCAGGUGUUUGUUCGCCAGGUACCUUUAGUCUGUUCCUCUCCUGUCUUUGUGUCGCUGCCUUUCU